rnacentral:hammerhead_ribozyme from 1 species
GUUCUGCUGAAGAGUCCCAAACUGGGACGAAACAGCUAUCCAGUAC